GUAUAUUCAUUAUUAUACUGACGAGGACGUCAGGGCCUUAACGGGGGGAGUCUGUGACACCCCAAUAGUCCCACAUCGGAUGGGAAUGGGAUUGUCAUUGGGUUUAUAAGAGACUUAGACACUAGUAAUAAUAACUGGGCUUAAGUAUUUUGGGCUGUUGGUUUGGGCCCAACGAGUUAUUGUUGCUAGUGGGCUGGGUCGUUACAAUUAUCUAUUUCAUAUUUUUCAAUUCAAUUAUCUUAUUUAUAAUUUUUUUUAAAAAAAAAAACUGCAAGUUAAAUAAGUGAUAGGUGCUGAGAUAUGACAUGAGAUAUGAUAUGAUAUUGAGGGCAGAAGCAUAUGGAGCACAGAUUAUGGAAGCACUAAGAUCAGGCAAAAUUUUUCCUGCAGUGAUAAAUAAGGAUAAAAGACCACAUCCAAGAGUUGUAAUAGAAUACUCUCAAAAGCACCAAGGGGGUGGUACUUUUGAGUUUUUAACCAUUAGAUGAAGAGAUGUAGGGUUGAGAUGAUGGUGAUAGAUGGUGGUAGCUGGUGGUAGGUGAAAUUGUGUUUGAUCCAAAAGUACUAAAAUAAAAAAUAAAAAAAAUUCCAUCAAAAACUUUUUUUAAUGAAAAAUUAUUUUUCAUAGUUUUACGUCAAAUCAAACAACCCCUUAGCUAAAAGUUUGGGAAUUAAUAAAUAAGGACAAACAAAAAAAGAUAAAAUAUUUCAAAUAAAAAUUU
rnacentral:lncRNA from 1 species